CACACACAUUUUAAACUCUUACCUUCCAUCUUAGAAUCAAUACUGUGUGUUGGUUCCAAAGCAGCGGAGUAGAAAGGACUUGGCUAUGAUGGUUAAGUGACUUGUCCAGGGUCACAUAGCUAAGAAGUACAUGAGGCCAGAUUUGAAUCUAGGGCCUCCCAUCUAUAGGUCUAACUCUCAAUCCACUGAGCCACCCAGCUGCCUCUCAACACAUAUAGUUUAAAGUUUGCAAGGCAUAUUAGGAUUGGAAAUGAGGACUCUGGCUUUCCCCCAGCUUCAGUUCCCAACUCUGAUCACUUCUCACCAGCAUUUUACAAUAACCUCUAAUUGGCCUCCCUGCCUCCAGACUCUCUCCACCCUAAUCAUUCCUACUAAUAGCCACCAAAAUGGUUUUCUCUAAGUUCAGAUUUGACCAUGUUACUCUGCUGUUUGAUAAAACUCCCUAUUACUUCCGGGAUAAACAUAGAUACUUUUCUGUUUUGUUUUCCUGCCCUUCAUAGCCUCCAUCUUAAACAUCAUUUGACUUCUUAUACUCUAUAGUCUAGCCAAAGGGACCUCUGCGCUUCACCAAUGACACUUUAUCUUCUCUCUCAUUGCCUUUGCAUGGGUCAUCCAUCAUGCCUAGAAUGACCACCUUCACUUCUAUUUUUUUCUCUAGGCCACAACCUCCUUACAAAGACUUUUUUGAUUCUCCCUAUUUGAUAAUAUUCUCCCUCCCAAUCUACCUUAUGUUGAACUGUUUUGUGAUUUUUGUAUUUAUACCAUACAUUGCUAGGAGAACAUGUUUCUCCUCUUAGGACAUAAUCUUUCUGAGGGCAAGCAUCCUUUCUGUCUCUGUGUCUCCAGGGCCAAGCACAGUGCAAGGCACAGAAUAUCCCAAAUAUUGCUUGCUUGCUUGCUUGAUUCCUGACCCUCAAUACCGUCAGGGAGGACCUGGAGCCAUUCAGAUGCAACACUCUGGGCCUGGCCUCUGCAGGAGCUGAGGAAUCUCAUUUGAGCGCUGGUCAAAGAGGCUGUAAACACUGAAUUCAAUAUAAGGCAUUUUUUUAAAAGUUGUUUGGUGGAGUACUAUGGUGCUCAAAGGAAUAAUAAAGUGGAGCAAUUCCAUGGGGACUGGAACAACCUCCAGGAAGUGAUGCAGAGUGAGAGGAGCAGAACCAGGAGAACAUUGUACACAGAGACUGAUACACUGUGGUACAGUCGAAUGUAAUCGACUUCUCCAUUGGUGGUAAUGCAUCGAUCCUGAACAACUCGGGGGGAUCUACAAGAAAGAACACUAUCCACAUUCAGAGGAAAAACUGUGGGAGUAGAAACACAGAAGAAAAACAACUGCUUGAUUACAUGGGUUGAGGGGAUAUGACUGUGGAUGUAGGCUCCAAAUGAACAUCCUAGUGCAAACACCAACAACAUGGAAAUGGGUUCUGAUCAAGGACACAUGUAAUACCCAAUGAAAUUGCGCAUUGGCUGCAGGAAG